UUCUUGAUAGUCCAGAGGCUAAGACACUACACUCUCAAUGCAAGGGACCCAGGUUUGAUUCUUGGUCAGGGAA
rnacentral:tRNA from 1 species